rnacentral:pre_miRNA from 1 species
CAAGUAUUCCCUCCGUCCCAAAAUUCUUGUCUUACAUUUGUUUAGAUACGGAUGUAUCUAACACUAAAAUGUAACUAGAUACAUCCGUAUUUAGACAAAUUUAAGACAAGAAUUUUGGGACGGAGGGAGUAGUAC